rnacentral:rRNA from 1 species
UACAGGGGGUGCAAACGUUGCUCGGAAUCAUUGGGCGUAAAGCGCACGUAGGCGGCUGUGUCAGUCAGGGGUGAAAUCCCGGAGCUCAACUUCGGAACUGCCUUUGAUACAGCACAUCUGGAGUCCGGAAGAGGUGGGUGGAAUUCCUAGUGUAGAGGUGAAAUUCGUAGAUAUUCGCAAGAACACCAGUGGCGAAGGCGGCUCACUGGCCCGAUACUGACGCUGAGGUGCGAAAGCGUGGGGAGCAAACAGG